rnacentral:rRNA from 1 species
AGUGAACGCUGGCGGCAGGCCUAACACAUGCAAGUCGAACGGCAGCACAGCAGUAGCAAUACUGUGGGUGGCGAGUGGCGGACGGGUGAGGAAUACAUCGGAAUCUGCCUAGUCGUGGGGGAUAACGUAGGGAAACUUACGCUAAUACCGCAUACGACCUACGGGUGAAAGCGGGGGAUCGCAAGACCUCGCGCGAUUAGAUGAGCCGAUGUCCGAUUAGCUAGUUGGCGGGGUAAUGGCUCACCAAGGCGACGAUCGGUAGCUGGUCUGAGAGGAUGAUCAGCCACACUGGAACUGAGACACGGUCCAGACUCCUACGGGAGGCAGCAGUGGGGAAUAUUGGACAAUGGGCGCAAGCCUGAUCCAGCCAUGCCGCGUGGGUGAAGAAGGCCUC